AUACGGAGGAUCCGAGCGUUAUCCGGAUUUAUUGGGUUUAAAGGGAGCGUAGGCGGACUAUUAAGUCAGCUGUGAAAGUUUGCGGCUCAACCGUAAAAUUGCAGUUGAUACUGGUCGUCUUGAGUGCAGUAGAGGUAGGCGGAAUUCGUGGUGUAGCGGUGAAAUGCUUAGAUAUCACGAAGAACUCCGAUUGGGAAGGCAGCUUACUGGACUGUAACUGACGCUGAUGCUCGAAAGUGUGGGUAUCAAACAGGAUUAGAUACCCUGGUAGUCCACACAGUAAACGAUGAAUACUCGCUGUUUGCGAUAUACGGCAAGCGGCCAAGCGAAAGCAUUAAGUAUUCCACCUGGGGAGUACGCCGGCAACGGUGAAACUCAAAUGAAUUGGCGGGG
rnacentral:rRNA from 1 species